AGCGAGUCGCCGUCAGUUGCUUCCUUGCCGUCGAGGUGAGAGGACGCCCGAGCUCAUGCCAGAACUGUCGCCGCUAACAAAGGCCUUGACUAUUUGCGUAGCGCCUGUCGAAAAUACAGGCUGUCCUUCCUAGACGGGCUCUCUCCUGUUGUACAUUUAAAGAAGCUAACUGAAAGCCUUGUAAGAGCUACAAUUUCUCGACCACGCCAAGUGAGCUGAGCAGUCAAAAUGGCGCCCUCAUCUCCAAAGCCCGUCUACUGUGGAACAUCUGCUGCGGCCACCCAAGUGCCUUACGCCUUCUACCGGCACUGGGAGGCCUGGCUCCAAACAGUUUAGGGACGCUCCAGAUGAGGCACACCAGCUGUCAGGGUGCAGGGAACAUGAACACAGGGGGCGUCCCUGUAAGGCCAGCGAUGCAUGUUCCGAGAGGAUCUCAUAAUGCCGACCCGGAAGUUGUGGGUCGGGCAGGUUGAAAUCGUUGUGCUCAACCCAUUUUGAGUCGCCAAUUUCCACAGGGUUGGCGCCCAGGUGUGCCCGGCGGUUUGGCGGCUUUCGGGUUCUGCUUCAGGCCGAGGUUUUUGAGGUCAGACGCCCUUGGACUUUGGCGGUAAACCGGCUGUUGCCUAUAGCCGUCGAGCGCUCGUGGAGCCUCCCCGCUUAUCACGGAAGACGGCUCUGGGUUUUUGGUUGUCGUCUCUUGUAGACGUCCAGACUGGCUCGUCAAGGGUGUGGUUCUCUCUCGGGAUUUGCGUCCGGAUUCGCCCGGAGCUUUGGGGGCUGGUGGGUUCUGCUUGCAGGCGGAGGUUUUUGAGGUCAGACGCCCUUCGACUCUGGUGGCAAACUGUCGGUUCCUUAAGCUCCGAGCGUUUGCGGCCGUCCCGGCCAUCGGGAGUUCCCGCCUGAGCCUGAAUGUCGAAAGGGUAGCUAAACCCUGUGGAUGUGCGCCCAUCAGGUUCCGUAGCCCAUGGGAAGCCGCGCCCGAUUCGCCCGGUGGUUUGGCGGGCGGCGGAUACUGUCUGUAGGCGGAGGUUUUUGAGGUCAGACGCCCUCCGACUUGGAUUGCGAUACGUUGUUUGCCUUGCCUCCGAGCGUCCCAGGACGGCUCCCGCCCUUCGGGCUCACGGUUUCCGGGCUGCGAUUGCCGUGCGCAAGUCGCACGUGACACACCAUUUUUGUGCCGCACUUCCUGUGGCGCCCAGCUUUGGCAGCGGGCACUCAGUCGGGGCACGCGGUUUCCACGCUGGCCCGGCGGUUCGGCCGGUGGUGGGCUCCUGUUGUUAGGCGGAGGUUUUUGAGGUCAGACGCCCUCCGUCUUCGACUGUGAACCUCCGGUGGCUUUGGCGCCGAGCCUGCGUGGACGAGCUGCCCAACUUGUUGAGAACUCCGCUGACGGACGCCGCAGAAGCAGCUUCCCUGCAAACUUUAGAGCGGCACGCGUACACGUGGCAGACCUCUCGGAGCAUGCGUGUAGCUUGGUCGCACACGCGUCACAGCGUGGUGGUAUACGUGGGUUUAUGUUACCGGGUACAGUGUAGGUGAGAAAGCUGCGUUGGGUGUGCUCGGCGCACGCCCUUCUCGCGCGUGAGUGCUGGCUGCGCUGUGCGGCCUGCGGGCGGCCCACACUGCGGCUCGAGCCGGGCCUGUGGCCAGCCUUGAGCACGUUCGUCCGCGGCCGCUCACCGCGGUCCUGCGGGGGUCACUGCCUUGGGCACCGUUCUCGCGACGCGGCGCGGUGUCAAACCGCUUCGUGGAGUGCAGAAGGUGUCCGCCCCCUGGCCGGUGGAUGGAGCGGUCCGGGCGAUGACCACCAUUGGUGCGUUAAAUAACCAGUGUGUGCACCUCUCCGGCGUUCCGGGUCCUCUGUCUGAUUGGCUGCUUCUGGGAGCUCAAUUAGCUCCGUUAAAUGUCGGCCACGCCAGACUGGGGAAUUACUUCUCGCGUGCGCGGCGCCCAGUCGCGUCGCUUGGCUGUCGGGAACUUUGGCGCGGGUUUAAAACCUUGCUGGUUUGUGCGGUUGCUCAUGUCCAGGUUUUGGUUUAGUGGUGCGUGCGCCCACCAGUGGUGUUAGUUAGUUGGUGGCGCGUAGGGAUAUAACCCGAUCUUCAAAUCAUCGAGAUCAACGUCGUUCUUCAAUGUGUGCUGUGCUGAGUGAGCCCCCCAGCCGGGGGUUGUGCGCGUGUGAAAAACAAAGCCUGGCAUGUAGCAAGCGUCGUUCUCGCUAGGACCCGUAUGCCUAACCCGAGGGUGAGGUUACGCGCGGGGUCGUCGUGUCGCGACGGGCCCUAGCUUGCUUGCGCCUAUUCCAAAGGCCUCGCGUUGGGUCCAUCUUGGGCUCCAGGACCGUCUGGGAUUGUCGCGGGAGGGCUUGUCGCACGCUUUUUAAACCGUUGUCUCGGGCGUGUCGGCUGGCUACACUGUGCCUGGCUCGGAUCGCUGUCACUGGACUCUCCACUGCUCCGCCGUGCGCAGCGGGCCAGCGCGCUUUGGGGGGCACCCGCCUGGCUUUCGCCCUGGCAGCGCUCGACACUCGAGGUACACUGGGUCGGGCUGCCACACCACGAUAUUAGAUCGCAGACACUAGGACAAAUGCACCUGGAGCCUCGACACUGGUCACACUGAAAGGCCUUUUUAAAAUGAUAUGGCGACACCGGCACAAGGAAAGACCGAGUCCAAGCAAGAAUAGACUCCAAGCCUCUUCCGGAAGCAUCCUUUGAAGUUACCGAAGUCAUCUUUUGAAGAAACCGAUAUCGAAUCAGGCACAGGCUGCGUCUUUACAUGGCACCCACUGGGGAAAGAAGCUCUGCAGUCAAGAUCUCAAGGUCAAGAGCUCUACGUCAAGGUCAAGAGUUCUACGUCAUCGAAGUGUUCAGUGCCGUGUGGUGGUUACGGUGGUGCGCGUUAUUUUUUUUUUAUAUUUUUUGUGGAGUGUUGUCUUCCGUAUUCGGUGGUACAGCCUCGCUACCACCGCUUCCGGGAGACGCGGUGCUGUGCUUGUGCAUCUGUGAAGUGUUAUGGCCUGUUCUUCAUUCUACGGUGGUUCUACACGCAGAAGUCGUCGCUUCCCAGUGAAAUGCUUGGAAGAUCUCUAGUGGGUGCCAUGUAGAGUCUGCAGACUGUGACCUGAAAGCGAACUAAAGCCAACCAAGAACUGAACUGUUGCAAUGCUUCCUCUCUUCAACGCAUGGACUUCUCAAGAAAAAAAAACGUCAACACGUCACUGGUAGAUAGGGAAAGGGGAGGGUCAUCUUCGAGAAGCCAUUAGAGAGGAACUUGUUUUUGCAUUAAACAUUUGAAU
rnacentral:lncRNA from 1 species